ensembl:lncRNA
AUGAGCUUUCGAAAGUGCAAGGAACCGUGUACCAGGUUCAUCACUAAGGGAGACACUCACGAAAGGUGCGUAGUCUGUUUGGGAUUACAUCACGCGCAGUCUGCGCUUAGUGGCCUUUCCUCUUGUCCCCACUGUGAUGGCCUGCGACUUAAAGUACUGCGCUCGAGGGUAGAAGUGUUUUCCAAGGUCGCCCCCGCGUCUAACCCCCGCCGUGUCGCUUCUGCGGCUGCCGAGGCACCGCACGAGGCGAUGGCUUGGGGAGACAUGUGCGACCUCACUUACGACGACAGCGCGGCGCUGGAGUUUUCUCCACAUCGCUCGCUCUCCCCUACCCGAGUGCAGGAUGCCACCUUCGUCGAACCCGUUGUGUUCUCGGACGGGGGUUUACAGCCCACCCCGGAGGCAUACGAUGCUAUCUCCUUCGGUUGUGGGCAGUUCGACGACGACGUCUUAUCCACCGCGGCUUCGGAGUCUGAGGACUUCGUGGCAGAUACGGACAGCCCUCUCCCUCCUAGCGGACAGGAGAAGCGCGUCUCUCCCUCCUACAGCGAGCUGUUGGAUGUGGUCUCUCGUGCGGUGGGUAAGCUGGGACUGGACUGGGAGGUUGAGAAGGCCGAGGCCCAACCUUCAUCUAAGCUGGACGACCGUUUUUUGACUAGUCGUGCUCCCGCGCAGCCCCGUAGGCCCCUGCCUUUUUUCCCGGACCUCCACCAGGAGGUUUCGAGGUCCUGGAAGCAGCCCUACUCGGCGCGCAUCACGAACGCUGCGGCUGCGGAUUUCGCCACCAUUUCAGAUAUGGCGAACCGUGGCUAUACAGCGAUGCCUCCGGUUGAGGAGACUCUCGCCGAACAUCUGGCGCCUAAUUCGGCCACGGCAUGGAAGUCUCGCCCCCUCCUUCCUUCGAAGGCGUGUCGAGUCACGUCUAGCCUCGUCGGGAAAUCUUACAUGGCUGCUGGCCAGGCGGCCGCAUCGCUCCACUCUAUGGCGGUCCUCCAGGCCUACCAAGCGGAGCUUUUAAAGGAUCUCGACGAGGGGGAGGGCAUCACACCCGAGGCUGUGAAAGAGCUGCGUCGGGCAACGGAUUUGGCGCUACCAAACAUACUGCUCGGGCAGUGGGCCGUUCCAUGGCUGGUUUGA